UCUGGAAACCAUAGAGCUGUGGCACCACCUGAAUCCAUUCCGAACUCAGAAGUGAAACACAGUAUCGCCGAUGGUAGUGUGGGGUCUCCCCAUGUGAGAGUAGGUCAUUUCCAGGC
rnacentral:rRNA from 1 species